GAACAACCGACUGUUCCACAAGCCUGAGUCCUUGUUUACUCACUUUAUGGCACUUGUAGUAGUAGGCGAGGAGUUGCGGCAUUCUGUCGAUCUCCGAGAAGACUUUGACGAACAGUUUGGCUUGGUCUGCGCAGGAAAGGUCUCUUCGAUAUCUGCACUGAGUGUGCUCCACUUAUCGGCCUCCUGCAGCGCCUCGGCUGCCAGCUGCAUGCGACUCUUCACUUGGUCGAUCUCCACCAGGACCUGGAGUUAAGAGCACCCACAAAAGACUUAAACCCCCUUUCGAACUCCAUGUGAAGCAGUUCAUGUCCGAGUAGCUGCACACCUGCAUGGACUGCACUGUGUCCUGCUCAAACUUCUUGAUGUCCUCUUUGACUAGAACCAUUUGCUCCUUGAGAAAAGUCGCCUCCUGCUUCAGCGCCUCCACAUCUCGCAGCA